UGGUGAGUAACACGUAAGCAACCUGCCUAUCAGAGGGGAACAACAGUUAGAAAUGACUGCUAAUACCGCAUAUGCCUUAGAAUCACAUGGUUCAAAAGGGAAAGGAGCAAUCCGCUGAUAGAUGGGCUUGCGUCUGAUUAGCUAGUUGGUGGGGUAAUGGCCUACCAAGGCAACGAUCAGUAGCCGAACUGAGAGGUUGAACGGCCACAUUGGGACUGAGAUACGGCCCAGACUCCUACGGGAGGCAGCAGUCGGGAAUAUUGCGCAAUGGAGGAAACUCUGACGCAGUGACGCCGCGUGCAGGAAGAAGGUUUUCGGAUUGUAAACUGCUUUAGACAGGGAAGAACAAAGACAGUACCUGUAGAAUAAGCUCCGGCUAACUACGUGCCAGCAGCCGCGGUAAUACGUAGGGAGCGAGCGUUAUCCGGAUUUAUUGGGUGUAAAGGGUGCGUAGACGGGAAGUCAAGUUAGUUGUGAAAUCCCUCGGCUUAACUGAGGAACUGCAACUAAAACUGAUUUUCUUGAGUACUGGAGAGGAAAGUGGAAUUCCUAGUGUAGCGGUGAAAUGC
rnacentral:rRNA from 1 species